UGAUAAUCAAGGUGGGCCUACUGUUGGGUGUUGUAGCUACAUUGACCCCAGGAUAUUACAGAGACAAUCUUCAUAUUACCUCAUAGAGUCUCAGGGUUGGAAGGGACCUCAGGCGGUCAUCUAGUCCAACCCCCUGCUCAAAGCAGGGCCAAUCCCCAAUUUUUGCCCCAGAUCCCUAAAUGGCCCCCUGAAGGAUUGAACUCACAACCAUGGGUUUGGCAGGCCAAUGCUCAUCCACCUUGCCUUUCUAUGAAUGUGACGCUUGGGACAAGCUUCCCUGUCCCCACUCCGCCCAGACCCCACUGCUGGUGGAUGACCCACAUAUACAGUUUUAUGAGCUGGCUGACAACUGAAUCUUUUAGCUCAGGCAGAAGGUCCACAAUCCUGAGGUCCCAGAUUUGAUCCCUGAUGAUGAUGUCCUAGGGCCAGGUGAAGCAUUUCUGCCUGUAUAUAUUCUAUUCCUGUUUUCAUUUUUAAAUAUAGAGCUAAACUAAAAGGACUAUCACUUUCAAAUCUAGUCAGUUUUAAGAGCUUUAAAAACUAGUUUGUGGUUCCACACUUAGCCUAAUCACUCCACCAAUUUUUAUGGUUUUAAAACCAUAUUUUCCAAAAAUGGUUUUCUUUCCUGUUACUGUAUAAAAAAUAAGCAAGGGAAUAGAUAAUAGUAAAGGUGAGGUUGAUUGUACAUCAAGUGUUCUCCUGCACACAGUAAACCUCACUGAAAACAAAAUAAAGUUAUUGUAAAAGAUGAA